rnacentral:ncRNA from 1 species
CACCGUUUUGGUCCUAUACUUCCUGUUACUUUUAGCUGCAUUUACACAUGCCAGCCUCCACGCCCCAGUGCCAUCGCCCAAACCCUACCCCCUAGGCCAGGAGCAGAUAUCAGGCGCGCUCUUCUGCAGCCCAAAACAUCUCGUUCCGCCACCCCCCCACGGGACCCAGCAGUGAUAAAUAUUAAGCAAUAAGCAUCUGCUUGACUUAUUGACAGCUAAGCAGGGCCGGUAAAUUUCGUGCCAGCCACCGCGGUUAUACGAAAGGCCCAAAAUAACCAUCAUCGGCGUAAAAUGUGACUAGAGACAAGCCUAGUAAAGAGAUUAAAAGCACAAUUAAGCCGUAAAACGCAUACAUAUAAAGAAUCCCCACUAAAUCUCAAAACCGCAGCACCCUUGAACACACGAAAGCCAAGAAACAAACUAGGAUUAGAUACCCUACUAUGCUAGGCCCUAAACCCAAGCUGCAUCUAAACUUACAGCUCGCCAGAAAACUACAGGUGAAAAACCCAAAACUCAAAGGACUUGACGGUGUCCCACAUCCCCCUAGAGGAGCCUGUCCUAUAAUCGAUACUCCACGCUAUACCUCACCCACUCUUGCAUAUCAGCCUAUAUACCGCCGUCGUCAGCCUACCUCAUGAGAGCAAAGUCGUAGACAAAACAGCCAAAUCGCUAAUACGUCAGGUCAAGGUGUAGCUAAUGAGUGGGAAGAGAUGGGCUACAUUUUCUAAACUAGAAAAUCACCACAGCAGCAUGAAACACCUAGCUAGAAGGCGGAUUUAGCAGUAAACUAGACAAUGAGCUGUCAUCUUGAAAUUAGCUCUGGGACGCGUACACACCGCCCGUCACCCUCCUCAUAGUAACAAUUCACUACUUAAACACCAAAACAAACUCCAAGAUGAGGUAAGUCGUAACAUGGUAAGCGCACUGGAAAGUGUGCUUGGAAUAC